rnacentral:rRNA from 1 species
ACGCUAGCUACAGGCUUAACACAUGCAAGUCGUGGGGCAGCGGAUGCUUAGCUUGCUAAGUAUGCCGGCGACCGGCGCACGGGUGAGUAACGCGUACCGAACCUGCCCAUCACACAGGGAUAGGCUUGCGAAAGCAAGAUUAAUACCUGAUGGUCUCAAUUUUAUGCAUGUAUGAUUGAGUAAAGCCUUCGGGCGGUGAUGGAUGGCGGUGCGUCCCAUUAGGAAGUUGGCGGGGUAACGGCCCACCAAUCCUUCGAUGGGUAGGGGUUCUGAGAGGAAGGUCCCCCACAUUGGAACUGAGAUACGGUCCAAACUCCUACGGGAGGCAGCAGUGAGGAAUAUUGGUCAAUGGGCGAGAGCCUGAACCAGCCAAGUAGCGUGCGGGAUGAAGGCCCUUGUGGUCGUAAACCGCUUUUAUCAGUGAAUAAAGUGCAGCACGUGUGGUGUCAUUGCAGGUAGCUGAAGAAAAAGGACCGGCUAAUUCCGUGCCAGCAGCCGCGGUAAUACGGAAGGUCCGGGCGUUAUCCGGAAUUAUUGGGUUUAAAGGGAGCGCAGGCGGGAGUAUAAGUCAGCUGUUAAAUAUCAGGGCCCAACUCUGUUAUGAAGUUGAAACUAUAUUUCUUGAGUACGCACAGGGAUGGCGGAAUUCAGGGUGUAGCGGUGAAAUGCUUAGAUAUCCUGAAGAACUCCGAUCGCGAAGGCAGCCAUCCGGAGCGUAACUGACGCUGAGGCUCGAAGGUGCGGGUAUCGAACAGGAUUAGAUACCCUGGUAGUCCGCACGGUAAACGAUGAAUACUCGCAGUUCGGCCUUUUAGGUCGAGUUGUCCAGCGAAAGCGUUAAGUAUUCCACCUGGGGAGUACGCCGGCAACGGUGAAACUCAAAGGAAUUGACGGGGGCCCGCACAAGCGGAGGAACA